GCCUGGGUGGCUCAGUUGGUUAAGCCCCUGACUCUUGAUCUUAGCUCAUACUUUGAUCUCAGGAUCGUGAGUUCAAGUCUCACCCAGUGUG
rnacentral:tRNA from 1 species